AUCUCUCCAAAUAUAUUAAAAGAAGGGUAUGGAGGACUGCUGGACAUCUCUCCAAAUAUGUUAAAUGAAGAACGCUGCUACCCGAAAACGUCUUCGUCCCUGAAUUACCGCACUCAACCAGAGACAGGGUUGUGGAAGUUCUGCCUGCAGACAGUGGUUGGAACCGGUUUUACAGAAACUCCUAUCACAGAGAUCAGAUGGAAUCCUAUUGGUGACUGCGCAAGCACGUGUACCUCAUUGCCCGGAUGUAUGACAUUUGCCAUUAAUCAGUAUGGCCGAUGCUUUACAACUAGAUGGUGCCCCGGUUACUUUGAUAUUAAUUACUCUGUGUAUGAAAUGAACAACGUGACUGAGCGAUGUUUUCCAGCGGAGUAUCUACCCGCUUCACCCGUCCUCGGUAGGGGAAAUACCCGUCCUCGGUAGGGGAUAUACACAGUAUACACGCAUGCUUCAUAACAAGGACUAAUAUCAAUACUUCUUGUUCUUAAUUAAAAUUCAACAUGCUCUUUUCCACAAUAGAAAUUCAUUGAACUAAAUACUUUAUUGUU